rnacentral:rRNA from 1 species
UAGGUGACCUGCGGAGGGAUCAUUACACAAAUAUGAAGGCGGGCUGGAACCUCUCGGGGUUACAGCCUUGCUGAAUUAUUCACCCUUGUCUUUUGCGUACUUCUUGUUUCCUUGGUGGGUUCGCCCACCACUAGGACAAACAUAAACCUUUUGUAAUUGCAAUCAGCGUCAGUAACAAAUUAAUAAUUACAACUUUCAACAACGGAUCUCUUGGUUCUGGCAUCGAUGAAGAACGCAGCGAAAUGCGAUAAGUAGUGUGAAUUGCAGAAUUCAGUGAAUCAUCGAAUCUUUGAACGCACAUUGCGCCCUUUGGUAUUCCAAAGGGCAUGCCUGUUCGAGCGUCAUUUGUACCCUCAAGCUUUGCUUGGUGUUGGGCGUCUUGUCUCUAGCUUUGCUGGAGACUCGCCUUAAAGUAAUUGGCAGCCGGCCUACUGGUUUCGGAGCGCAGCACAAGUCGCACUCUCUAUCAGCAAAGGUCUAGCAUCCAUUAAGCCUUUUUUUCAACUUUUGACCUCGGAUCAGGUAGGGAUACCCGCUGAACUUAAGCAUAUCAUA